UGAUUAUCUGAAUUCAAGAAAUUGUCUUGGGAAGGGAUAUAAAGCCCCGCUACAUAUAAAUAUGAUUCCAGAAUAUCAAAUUCAUUUUGAUAAGUGUAUUCAAACCUUAAAAUCUUUAAGGUUAACAAAUGGUGAAUACGUUUAUAAAUCUUCAAAAAAAACAUGUGUAGAGGGGCUUAUUCUUUCCAUGACAAGUAUCCUGAAAAAGGAGUUAUUAAUUGGAGAAAAUCCUAAAAUGAAGUUCUUUUUAACGUAUAAAACAUCACAAGAUCAUUUAGAAUUAUAUUUUUGUAGUAUUCGUAGCGGGAGUGGAUUUAAUGAUAAUCCAUCAGCUUAUCAACUACAAUCUGCUGUUCGCACUACAUUAAUGGUGAAAUUAGAUCCAACAAUCAUGGGAAAUAGCAUUUCCUUAGAUAAUACACAAGUAUUAUGUUCAAAUUUUCAAAAUAAUCAUGAUAAUGAUGUUAACAUUAUCAAACCUAUAGCCAAUCUAGUACCCAUACCCACCACUUCAUCUUAUUAUUUUAGAAACACAAACCCACAUAUCCCGAAAUUAUCUUUAUAUUUAGAUAAUGUAUCAACUUAUAUAACGGGAUAUAUUGUACACCAACUUAUUAAAGAAAAAAAGCAACGUUGUGAUGUUUGCAUUACAGCAAUGGUUAGUGAUUCUUAUAAUGAUAAUAAUAUCAAUAAUAUGCUAAUAAAUAUUAAAAAUAAUGGGGGGGGGGUUGGUGAUACCUUCUACUAGUAUGUCCAAACUAUGCAGAAUAUGUGAAAGUUCAUUUAGAACUUAUCAAAAUGAAAUCACACAUAAAAAUAUUUUAAAAAAAUGGAAGUAUUAAUUUUUUCCAAAAUAAUAGGCACAAAUCUCUUUAUUGAUCUUUGUGAUCAUAUCAUUGAACAUGAAAUUGGGUACAGCCAUUUUCAAAUUCUUGUAAAAUUAAUUGUUCAAAAAUAUUUAAAUAUUAGAUUUUAUCAUUUUGCUGACUUAAGAAACCAGGAAUUGAGAACUGGUAUGCGACAGAAUCUUACAAAAGCAAUACAAUUUAAUAAUCAAUAAGUGAUGAUAUAAUCAAAAAUGAUGAAAAUGUAC